rnacentral:rRNA from 1 species
CAUCGCCUUUCGUUUAUGUGUGAGGUACCACCUGCCCACUGAGGCAUUUAAGGGCCGCGGUAUUUUGACCGUGCAAAGGUAGCAUAAUCAUUAGUCUCAUAAUUGGAGACUGGUAUGAAGGGUAUAACGAAGCAUAAUCUGUCUUUGUAAGAAAUUAAAAAUUAACAUUUUAGUGAAAAGGCUAAAAUAAAAUUAUAGGACGAGAAGACCCUAUAGAACUUUACAAAUCUUAAGUUAUCCUUUUAGGAGAGGGAUAAGGACAUAUUGAAAAUUUGUUUCGUUGGGGUGACGGGGUGAUAGAUUAACUCAUCUUUAGCAAGACAUAAAUUUAUGAGUAUUAGAUCCAUAUAUUAUGAUUUAAAAAUUAAGUUACCUUAGGGAUAACAGCGUAAUCUUUUUAGAGAGUUCAAAUCGAUAAAUAGGAUUGCGACCUCGAUGUUGGAUUAAGAUUUAUUUUAGGUGCAGAAGCUUAAAUUAUGGGUCUGUUCGACCAAUAAAAUCUUACAUGAUC